UACGGAGGGUGCAAGCGUUGUUCGGAUUUACUGGGCGUAAAGAGCGUGUAGGUGGUUUAACAAGUCAGAUGUGAAAGCCCUGGGCUCAACUCAGGAAGUGCAUUUGAAACUGUUUUUCUAGAGUAUGGGAGAGGAGAGUGGAAUUCCCAGUGUAGAGGUGAAAUUCGUAGAUAUUGGGAGGAACACCGGUGGCGAAGGCGACUCUCUGGACCAAUACUGACACUGAGACGCGAAAGCGUGGGGAGCAAACAGGAUUAGAUACCCCCGUA
rnacentral:rRNA from 1 species